UGAACAGGUGGGACAUCUACAGCUCCAUCAGGUGAAGCGUCUUCAGCUGUUUGGUCUCCCUUCAAAGACGUCACGCUGGAAAGCUGAGUUUUACUUUCUCAGGAGAAACGAGAAACUCAAUAGAGACUAAAAUUCCAUAUAGGAGAUGUUGGUGAAAUGCUACUUCUCCACACCAUUCCAGUCGAAGUUAUGAGUGAAGCUUAACUGUUGCCAUUGCAUGUGUGACAAAGGGGAUGAGUUGUUUGUCCAUGGGACUCAGUCAACCAGUGCAGAACCAGAAAGUUACCCACAAUGACAUCAAGACAUCGUUCACCUCUUCCAGCUGAGGAGUCUCUUGUUCUCAUCACUAAUCAUGGUGGACUGUUUCCCGUGUUAUCCGAGGGACAGACCAUUGCCUGCUCCAUCCCUGAUGACAAAGGGGCACAGAUCUCCUGGCCACGUCUUUGCUCCGGACAAGUGAAGUCAAUGGGAUUGCAUCCUGCCUCUGAUCAGCUCCAAAGGGUGACAGAUCAGAGGGAGCUCCCAUCUCCUUGCACUGUCCUCAUCUGUCUCCUAUGCUCCUGCCUGGUCUUGCUCCAUCAAGACUUGCCUCCUCAGAGCAGCCAGUAUUCCAAGGCAGAUACUUCUCAGAAUUGAUUUAACCGAGUGACUUUCAACUGUUUCCAUUCUGGAAGAACUAAGAAAUUCUUUGUCCGUCCCCUGCCUGAGCCAUCCACGUCCCUGGAACAUUCUUGUUUAGUCUCCUGAAAUGUUAUUAACAACCCCAGCG
ensembl:lncRNA